AGAAUCAACGCUGGCGGCGUGCCUAACACAUGCAAGUCGCACGAGAAAGGGUAGCAAUACCUGAGUAAAGUGGCGCACGGGUGAGUAACACGUGAAUCAUCUACCUCCGAGUGGGGAAUAACCUAGAGAAAUCUGGGCUAAUACCGCAUAACACUUACGAGUCAAAGCAGCAAUGCGCUUGGAGAGGAGUUCGCGGCCGAUUAGCUAGUUGGCGGGGUAAUGGCCCACCAAGGCGAUGAUCGGUAUCCGGCCUGAGAGGGCGCACGGACACACUGGAACUGAAACACGGUCCAGACUCCUACGGGAGGCAGCAGUGGGGAAUUUUGCGCAAUGGGGGAAACCCUGACGCAGCAACGCCGCGUGGAGGAUGAAAUAUCUUGGUAUGUAAACUCCUUUCGAUGGGGAAGAUUAUGACGGUACCAUAGAAGAAGCCCGGCUAACUUCGCGCCAGCAGCCGC
rnacentral:rRNA from 1 species